rnacentral:rRNA from 1 species
CUACCUUUUACAGAGGGAUAGCCCAGAGAAAUUUGGAUUAAUACCUCAUAGCAUAGCAAUCUCGCAUGAGAUCACUAUUAAAGUCACAACGGUAAAAGAUGAGCAUGCGUCCCAUUAGCUAGUUGGUAAGGUAACGGCUUACCAAGGCUACGAUGGGUAGGGGUCCUGAGAGGGAGAUCCCCCACACUGGUACUGAGACACGGACCAGACUCCUACGGGAGGCAGCAGUGAGGAAUAUUGGACAAUGGGCGCAAGCCUGAUCCAGCCAUGCCGCGUGCAGGAUGACGGUCCUAUGGAUUGUAAACUGCUUUUGUACGAGAAGAAACACUCCUAUGUAUAGGAGCUUGACGGUAUCGUAAGAAUAAGGAUCGGCUAACUCCGUGCCAGCAGCCGCGGUAAUACGGAGGAUCCAAGCGUUAUCCGGAAUCAUUGGGUUUAAAGGGUCCGUAGGCGGUUUAGUAAGUCAGUGGUGAAAGCCCAUCGCUCAACGGUGGAACGGCCAUUGAUACUGCUGAACUUGAA